rnacentral:rRNA from 1 species
GACAGAGGGUGCAAACGUUGUUCGGAAUUACUGGGCGUAAAGCGCGUGUAGGCGGCAGGGUGUGUCGGAUGUGAAAUCCCGUGGCUCAACCACGGAAGUGCACCCGAAACUACCCAGCUCGAGUCUCGGAGAGGAAGGUGGAAUGCUUGGUGUAGAGGGGAAAUUCGUAGAUAUUCGGAGGAACACCAGUGGCGAAGGCGGCUCACUGGUCCAUUACUGACGCUGAGGUGCGAAAGCGUGGGGAGCAAACAGG